rnacentral:lncRNA from 1 species
GCGGCCCUAGCUGUACUGAAACAUUUGAUGUUCGGACGCCAUAAUCGGUUAGGUUCAUAACCUAUAUAAAAUAUUAACAAUAAUCAAUACCCAUUAACAAAGAGUGCAAUCAUCAUUAUGAUAAUUUUUUUUUUUUUGAAUAAUCAAAUAGGUUCUGGGCCAAAACCCAUCAUUAUUAUAUUAUAUAUAUAAUCAGUCUACACAAUGAAGAUAAGAAUAACAAUAAACAAUUACUCGGAACUCCAUCAGGUGUAGCAAGACAAUGAACAAAAGAUAUGACGAGGAAGAUUGUAAAACAAAAUACCACAAAAGUUUUCAUAGCGUUAGCUAUUAUUUUAGUGAUAAUUCUCUCAAAUUUUUUAAUGAGUUAUUCUUUACCUAGACUGAUUAUAUAUAUAAUAUAAGAACACAAAUUAUGUUUCAUGUGUUUUUUCCUGGUCAAAGCACAA